AUGUGCCACGCGUACAGUUCGGUUCCUGCGCGCCGUCCGCACCCACCCGGCGACUGCUCGCUCUGGUUCGUUAGGC
rnacentral:sRNA from 1 species